UUUCUCAAAGAUUAAGCCAUGCAUGUCUAAGUAUAAGCAACUAUACAGUGAAACUGCGAAUGGCUCAUUAAAUCAGUUAUCGUUUAUUUGAUAGUACCUUACUACUUGGAUAACCGUGGUAAUUCUAGAGCUAAUACAUGCUAAAAAUCCCGACCUCUGGAAGGGAUGUAUUUAUUAGAUAAAAAACCAAUGCCUUCGGGCUCCUUGGUGAUUCAUGAUAACUUAACGAAUCGCAUGGCCUUGCGCCGGCGAUGGUUCAUUCAAAUUUCUGCCCUAUCAACUUUCGAUGGUAGGAUAGUGGCCUACCAUGGUUUCAACGGGUAACGGGGAAUUAGGGUUCGAUUCCGGAGAGGGAGCCUGAGAAACGGCUACCACAUCCAAGGAAGGCAGCAGGCGCGCAAAUUACCCAAUCCCGAUUCGGGGAGGUAGUGACAAUAAAUACUGAUACAGGGCUCUUUUGGGUCUUGUAAUUGGAAUGAGUACAAUUUAAAUCCCUUAACGAGGAACAAUUGGAGGGCAAGUCUGGCCC
rnacentral:rRNA from 1 species